AAUGGAGGAAACUCUGAUGCAGCGAUGCCGCGUGAGUGAAGAAGGCCUUUGGGUUGUAAAGCUCUUUCGUCGGGGAAGAAAAUGACUGUACCCGAAUAAGAAGGUCCGGCUAACUUCGUGUCAGCAGCCGCGGUAAUACGAAGGGACCUAGCGUAGUUCGGAAUUACUGGGCUUAAAGAGUUCGUAGGUGGUUGAAAAAGUUGGUGGUGAAAUCCCAGAGCUUAACUCUGGAACUGCCAUCAAAACUUUUCAGCUAGAGUUUGAUAGAGGAAAGCAGAAUUUCUAGUGUAGAGGUGAAAUUCGUAGAUAUUAGAAAGAAUACCAAUUGCGAAGGCAGCUUUCUGGAUCAUUACUGACACUGAGGAACGAAAGCAUGGGUAGCGAAGAGGAUU
rnacentral:rRNA from 1 species